rnacentral:rRNA from 1 species
UACGUAGGGUGCAAGCGUUGUCCGGAAUUAUUGGGCGUAAAGAGCUCGUAGGCGGUUUGUUGCGUCGGCUGUGAAAUCCCGAGGCUCAACCUCGGGUCUGCAGUCGAUACGAGCAAACUAGAGUGUUGCAGGGGAGACUGGAAUUCCUGGUGUAGCGGUGAAAUGCGCAGAUAUCAGGAGGAACACCGGUGGGUGAAGACGGGUUGCUGGGCGUGACACUG